rnacentral:lncRNA from 1 species
UCGGAAGUUUGGUUCAAUCAAUUUUUAAUUGGAUUAGAAUUUGAUAAAGAAUUCAUAAGCCUAAUUUGAUUAGGUUUCAUUUAUUAUUUGGGUUUAACCAAACUAGAUUUGGUAGGAGACCGUGUUUGAACCAAAACCUAGAGUCCAAACUUGGUUGGACUCUUCCUUGCACCUACCCUACUCGCCCCCUCAUGUCUUCCC